rnacentral:lncRNA from 1 species
CCAUCACCUCCCGCCCCCCCCCCCCCCCGCCCUCCACCAUGGGGCUGGGCUGUUUAAAACCCUCGGUCAGUCUCCUCCUCCCUCCUUCCCCCCCCCCCGCCCGCUCCUUCCAACACCCCCCGGGGGAGCAGGGGGAGAUGCUGCCGGGAUGCGGGAUGCGGGAUGCGGCGGCGGCCGGACCGGGACCCCCCCGGGCGGGGAGAUAAGGAGAUUCCCCCGGCUGAACCCCUCCGCUGGGCUGAAUUUAGCAGCAGAAGAGAUAACCGGCAGAUAAGGACUGAUACCCUGGGAGGACAGCGGGAGACGGGCAGGCGGCCGAGGAAAAGGAGAGAAGCCGGAGGCAGCGUUGGGAAGGGCUGCCUAUCCAGAUGUGCCGGGUUCGGGACGCUCAUCUUCCCUUCCUUUGCAAAAUCCCUGACGGUUCUCUUUUCCAAAGCAGCGAUUUCCUAAAGAUUCGUUGAAUUCCUGCUGAAAAUCAGCGCUUUCCUUAAAAAAAAAAAAAAAAAAAAAAAAAGGCAAAAAAAGCAAAAAUGCAAUUUAAACUGAUUAAACCCGGCCAAGAAGCAAUACUUGGAGCAGAGAAGAUUUCAAGGACCUGUUUUGGCUUUGCUACUUCCAGGAAAAAACGUACAAAAGCAAUUCCCGUGGAUUGUGGCCGGAUCCAGCCUCUUUCUGCGGGGAAUUGUCGGUCGGUGGAGCCGGGAAUCGCCGGGACGCGCAUCCCGAAAAUCGGAGAGUUAAGGAACCGCGCUGAGCCCAGCCUGGCGUGACCCAACAGCCGGGAAGGACAGGAUGGAUUUCGGACACAAUUUCUCCCGGAAAAAGCAGAUGGGACACAGCAAAGCGCAGCGACAAAAAAAAAGCCCAAACCAAACCCAAAACUCUGUUCUGUACUCGGUGGAGCUUUUUUUCCCUUGCGAUUAACGAAAUCUGGCUGAAAAUAACCCAGGGGAACAAACUUUGGCCUGGUCUCUCUCCUUUCCAGCCCCCACUUCUGCCCCAAGCAGGAAAAAAAUCGAUUCGAUGCCUAUUUUAAAAGUUUUUUUUCGUUUUGCUUUUUUUCCUUGUAUCGAACUUCCGCGGCGGUUUUAGAGUUAAAGCUCCGGGUGCUGGUGGAUGCAAAAAAACCCCAAGAAGCCACACAAAAAACAAACCUAAAACCCCACCCAAAGCCACUUUAGGAACUGGGAGAGCGGAGGAGAAGAGGGGAGAAAGUUAAUUUAAAUUUUUCUCUGUGCUGAAAAUUUUUUUAAAAAUCACGAAAAAAAUGGUUAAAAAGAGGGGGGAAAAUCAGCGGGGAAAAUGCGGUUUUAGCAGAGCAAAAGGGAUAAAUGCGGCCGGCAGCUGCUGUGUAUUGGGUAUUUAGGAGUAUUUGGGAUUUUUACUAAUAUAAUUUUAACUAUUUUAUUUAUUCCUUGCCUUGGC